AUAAAAUGAUUAACUUACAACUCCUCUUUAUUAAAUGAGAGUAUUUUUAUAAAAUUAAAACAAUUUUUAAUGAAGUGGCAUAUUUGUAUUGGUUGAUUGUGAAAUGAGUUGUAAAAUUGUGCCAAGUCCAUUAUUGUUCUUUCUAAGAAAUGGUUGGUUGGAAUAAGAUACGUUGGGCUAAGGUUUUCGCUCCAGUUUAAAGCCCAUGACCCACUCGAUAUCCGAAAAAAAAAAAGGGCACUUUAGUAAUUAUGGUUCGGAAUAUUUGUGAGCAAAACCCUAGUAAUCGUCUGCUCUCUAACCUAUAUAAGUAAACAAUUCGCUGCUGCUCCCUCCAGAGUCUCUGAAGCCGAGCAGAGCAGGGAUUUGUGUGUAUCGGCUUAGUGCUGUGACAAGUGCACUCUGUUUCCGAAAGAGUUCCCUGCAAGAUUCAUCUGGGGAAGGUGGGCAGUUGUAUUUCAUUUGAACCAUUGAAAUUUUCAACAAUCAUCUUCCCCACAUCGCCUAUGCUAUCCUCCUUUUUUUUUUUUGCUUCAAACGCAAUGGAAAAUCUUCUUGUUAAUAUUAUGCGUUGUUAUUAUGAUAGAGCAAAAAUCUCUUCAA